CUCCCUUCUAGUGAUUUUUCUCAUAAAAAUAAAUCAACUUAUACGAACUGUAAGUCUGAAAUUGAAAAAAUGUAAAGAAUGUUAGACAAAAAUUUAGCUGCAUAUGAAAAUAUUAGGAAUUUGUUUUCUGAUUGGUUAUUGCAAUGGCUAUUUAUCAUUUCUUUGUGCACACCCGAGCAUAAAAUUUAGUGUAAUUUAUCCCAUUUCAGCUCUGUGAAUUUUGCCAAUUAAAUUUGAAAUAUUUCCUUUAGUUGAAUACGUUUUGGGGGCAACGAGGUAAAAAUGUGGUGUGUAGGUGUGAAAAUGUUACAUAUGUUUGCCCAAUGGUGAGACAUUUUGAUUGGAUAUUGAAGAAUGGACCAUGAUAUCUCAACUAACAUCCAAGGAUUACUGUAAACAGACUUCUACGCUCCAAUGAGUCCAAUCCUUUAUUGGUUUUUGUCAAACACCUUCUUGGACUAGAUUGAAGAAAGGUCUGGUGGAGUUCAUGAAGGAAACUGGAGUAGCUAUAUUUCCUGUGCUAUAGAUGUUGGACUAAGCAUGGACAACAGAACAUGGCUUUCAGUGGGAUACUGCAAUUAUUUGUGCUGGAUUUGAUGUUGGAUUAGGUUUUGUUUGUACUGUUCCUGUACUAACUGAAUGUGGGAGAUAAACUCCUAUUUGCAUGGAGGAUUUUGGACAUCUCAAUUCUCCAACAAGUAGAGUCAUAAAAUGCAGAUACAGAAGCACUGCUUAAUCUCGAAGAACGCUCUUGAUAUUAUGGAUUCUUCUGACUGUCAGAAGGACGAGGCGUUUCCUGAUGAGGGUCUGGUUAGGAACAAAUUUGAUGUUCUUUCUGAAGAUUGUUUAAUCCUUUUUGUUGGAUAGAGUGUAAAUUAUUAGUUGCAAGCUGUAUGUGUUGACCAGUUGUUCCUUAUCUGCAGGGCAUAACUCAUCAAAGUAACCUUGUAGGCUGCUAAUGAGGCAAAUUUGCAUUUGCAAAACAAUCUCUGAAAAUCACAAUAGAAAGAACCAAUUGAGGAGUUUGUAUGAGUUUCAUCAUCAGUUGAUUCUUUCUUGCCUAAGAUAUCUUGAUGGUUGGGGUUCUGAUCUUAGCGGGGAAAUGAAGGGUUUUAAGUGAGCCCUGUAAGCAUGCAGAAAUUAAAACAAUUCUAUUCUUGAUUCUCUUUGGAUGAUUGCUGGAGGCUACAACACUAUCGGAAGUUCUCAUGAAGCCAUUAAUGGGUUAGGAUAUUCUUUUCAGGAUAUUUCUUCAUGUCAGCAGGUUCUUGCUGCAGUUGAUCUUAAUGGUGUCAUUUAAUUGGCAUCCUCUUUUACUUGGAAGAUCUAAGGGCUGGGUUGCUUGACAGAUUGUUCCUAAGAGAAAAAAAAAUCUAAUUGCGAGUAGCUUAAGGAUUCAAAAUCAAUUCCUGGUUCUUCUGAGCUCGUUGAAGAUGGAAAGGGGCUUGCUGCAGAUUUUAUGAGACUGAAGCUACGCGGAAGCAUCAUUUUGUAAACAGAAGUGUCCAUGUCGCUUGGCUCAAUAACUGCAAGAUUACAACUACCAGACAUCAACUCGAGGGAGAGAAUAUGAAGUCCAAAAGUCAUUCCCAAUCAGAUUGUGUGAUUGUACAAGAGAGGAUAUUUGGUGUCCUAAUUUCCAUUUCGAAUUGUUACAUGGGUUUAAUUUAGUUUUUUGAAAGUUUUGUUUUUGUUUGUUGAUAAUUCCUAUAACAUCCCUCUUAUUCAUGUUUUAUAGCUAUAA